CCGACGUCACAGUGACUCGACUGUCGUGCGGAACGCAUCGCCGCAUGCCUGAUCGUACAGUGCACAGCGUGGAGACAAGUGCAUGCCGUAUCAGGUGUCAGACACUUGAAGCAAGUGCCUUCGGGUCGGGAGAAAACUAGUUACGUUCUUAGUCCCGCCGUAGACGUCGUGCAAGCUGCACGAUUGUGAGACGUUUGAUCGAUCGAUCGUAUCGAUCGUGUGUGGACACGAUCGUGUCCGUAGUCGGUGAUUGCAGUAUGAAGCUCCUUUGUUUGUUGAUGAUUCUUAGCGUCUGCGUGAAGAUCAGUCAUCAAAAAACGUCCCCAUGUCCGGCGGUGUUUUCGUACGAUGAGCGGGACGACACCCAUGACACCUGGUUCGGUACGAUACGCCUAAAAAGCAACGUACCCCUGUACGGUAUCUUUGUGGACAUUAUCUUUUCCUCCCCGGUGCUGGCAUUUGGGACAUUCCUGCGGCAGCACAACACGGACGAUAAUGUGCACUUCCACAUCAUGGACAAAUCGUACCGCGUGCGAGCGGGUGAGGUCGUGAUCGUUAAGUUCUACGUGCGGUACGCACCGGACAGACCGGUUCCGUUGCUUCGUCAGAUCCGGUUCAAUGGACAAAACAUUUGUACCGAAACGCGUCAAAAUCCGGUGCGUACGAAUGGACGCCCCGCCGGAACGAGCUAUGGCAAUGCGCACGUAGCAACAUCCUCUGAAACCGAUGAUAUCAUUGCCGAUGUCUACACACCACCCGUAGUACAACCGAUCAAUUCCCACGUAGCGCAUGCUCCCGUAGAAUCCCAGGUACAGCCGUUGUACUCCUCGAGUGCGUCGAGCUCGUCACGCGGUGGUACGGUGACCACCCGAGCUACCGAUGCCCACCACAAUCCCGCACACACUGGCGAAGUGUAUCCAUCACGAUUCAGUACCGAUGACCACGUGGAACACUCGUCUAGCACGUCCGGAAGUGGGGACGGGAAGGAUCACGACUCGGAUCGUCAGCGCAUAGCGAACAGGAGGGUCACUACAACGACCACUACCUACCGACCAAUAGCCGAGGAGCGUAUUUGGAACCAACCGUCGCAAAGAUCUAUUCCAUCCGAGCCGACAAGCCCACCGAAGCGUGUUUCGACCGUUCCACUGAUCGCCGACAAAGGCUUCACCACACUAGCGCCCAUCGCUCGCAGUACUACCGCGGGUGGCACUAACCGGGACCAGUACUUUGCCGGUGAUUACGCCUUCCUGCAGCACGAAAGUACACCCAAAGCCGGCCAAACGCACUACAUCAACAAGUACGAGGGAGACAUCUGCGGUACGGUUGUGCCGAAAGCGAAUCCCCUCGUAACGCACGGCACGGUGUCGGAGCGGGGCCAAUUCCCCUGGCACGGUGCACUGUACCGCAGUACGGUGACCGAGCUGAAGUAUCUCUGCGGGGCAACGCUGAUAUCGCGCCGGGCUAGCAUCACCGCGGCGCACUGUGUGACGCUGGAGAAAAGCUCCAAACCGGUCGAUGCGGGCAGUUUGCUGCUGUACUUCGGCAAGAUCGAUCUGAGCAAGUGGAACGGGCCGGAAGAGGACGCCCAGAUCCGGUCGAUCCACAUACCGGCCCAGUAUCAGCACGAGCGGUUCUUCAACGACAUUGCCGUGCUGGUGCUGAAGGAGGACAUCAAGUACAGCAACUUUGUGCGGCCCGUUUGUCUGUGGAACUUUGACGACGACUACAAGACGCUGAUCAACAAGAUCGGGUUCGUGCCGGGAUGGGGCUAUAAUGAGCAUGGGCUGGUCAGUUCGCGGCUCUCCUUCGCCCAGAUGCCGGUGGUGGCGCACGAAACGUGCAUCUGGUCGAACCGGGACUUCUUCAGCAAGGUCACCUCGGACACGUCGUUCUGUGCCGGGUUCAAGAAUGGCACUUCCGUGUGCAACGGUGACAGUGGCGGCGGCAUGGUGUUCAAGCACAACAACCUGUGGUACCUGCGAGGCAUAGUGUCGGUCAGUGCGGCGCUCCAGGAUCGGUUCCACUGCGACUCGAAGCACUACGUCGUGUUUACGGAUGUGGCCAAGUUUACGUCCUGGAUCAAGGGACUCAUGAAUGUGUUUGGCGCCAUUAUCAAUCCAAAGGGUCGGGAUUAUCGGUGCAGCAGGCGUGUGUUUGUGGGCGCCCUGCUCCGAAGCGCCGCCGUGCGAGCUCAACUCAUUCGGUUCGUGAUCUUCGAUCAGACAGGAGCUAGGAGCACACAGAAGAAGCAAAUAAAAAAAAAACAGAUCAGUCAGUCAAAGAUGUUGCGCGAGACAUCACUCCUGUCGCUGAUCCUCGGGUGGACAGCCGCUGGCGCUCUCGCCACCUACAUACGCGUGGGGCAAAGUGCAGAAGUGCGCCUACCAACGCCACAAGCGACCAGCUGCAGUGAUCUGUUUACGAUCGAUCACGAAGAUGCGUACCGGAAGCAGUACGAGGGUACGCUGGUGCUGCGGCCCAACGUUACGAUCCGUUACGUCCAGAUGGUGGUGCAGUUCGAUCGUCAAGUGGAGCAACUCACGAAUUACUUUGGAAGAAUCAGCACCAUCGACCAUCAGAGCUUUCACAUCGCCAAUCUAACGUACCCGUUGCGCGCUGGCACAGUGGUCAAGAUCCCGCUAGAAGUGUCCUACACCACCGGUUCCCCUCCGGCGGUCAGCCGAAUCGAAGUCAACGGCGUUACGAUCUGUCCUGUGGGCAAUUUAAGGUAAGCGAGCAUAAGCCUGUGUGCGUCAAAAUCGAAAACUUAAUUCAACCGUCUUAUCACCUCCAGACCUUUGAUCAGGAAUUUCCGUGAUCCAUGGACGGGAUCGGUACUGCCGGGCGCGAGUACCACGACCCAGCCGGAAGUACACUCGAAAAAUGGAACCACAGAACCGGCCCAUCAGUUCAACUCCUCUUGCCAGGCGAUUCGUACCGGGGUGAUCGUGUCGUCGGGCCGCUGGGACGCGGUUAUGAAUCUCGUGGCCGAAAACACGGUCGAUCGGGCGUUGAUAGAGAUCGUGUUCGAUCAGCCAGUGUACAUGUUGGGGAACCCUUUCGGCGAGGUGACGACGGAAGACAGCGUGCGGUUUAGGAUCGAAAACCGAACCUUCAUACUGGCGAAGGAUGCGGAGAUAGAGCUCAACUUCUUCAUCCGCUACAACCAGAUGGGACCGAUCCCGGACGUGGUGGAGGUGAAUUUCAACGGUCACAAUCACUGCCAACAACGAAGACGCCGUGUGUUGAACGAACCUGCCAGGGAGGAAGAACAUCGGAGAACCACAGGCAGGACUACCUCCACAACGGAACGUGCUACGGCGUGGGUAAAGUUGGAUCACACAACGGAAAGGACGCAUGAAAAUACCGGAUGGUCAUUGGAGCAGGAUGAGUGUGCAACAGUGUUGGAACCGGUCGGGACCCGUAUACGAUCGCGAAUCAUUGGUGGAGUUACGUCCAACCAGGGCGAACAUCCGUGGCAUGUGGCUAUCUAUCUGGAUGAGGAGUAUCAAUGCGGUGGCAGUAUCAUCGGAAGACGCUGGAUCCUAACGGCGGCCCACUGUCUGACGCGCCAAAACACGAACGAAACGCUGGACGUGGAUCUGUUCCGGGUGUACACGGGCAUCAUAGAUAUCAGUACGAUCGAUGAUCACUUUUACCGUACCGCCGAUGAGGUCAUUGUUCAUCGGGACUACAAUCCUGUGAUGUACACGACGGAUAUAGGGCUGCUACGGCUCAAGCGUAACAUCACCUACAACAGCUUUAUAAAGCCCGUCUGUCUCUACAAUCGUACGGUGGACAUUAGCACGUUCUAUGGCCGCGAGGGAAAGGUUACCGGCUGGGGAUUCAAUCGGGACGGCGUGAUCAGCAACGUGCUGAACUAUCUAGAGGUGCCGGUCGUGUCGCAAAAGAUGUGCUCCCAGCGGAAUGUACAGUUUAAUGGAGUACUGGCGGUAGGCGAAUCUUUCUGUGCCGGACAUGCCGAUGGCAACUCCGUAUGCAAUGGGGACAGUGGUGGCGGAUUAGUGUUUGCCGAAGGCCCACGGUACUACGUCCGCGGCAUCGUGUCGAUCAGUGCCCAGCGUCGGAACUUACUGCUCUGCGAUCCCAACCAGUACUCCGUCUUUACCGAUGUUUCCAAAUUCCUCAACUGGAUACGGCAGCAAGUAUCGUAGAUAGGCGGGCCGGCGCGUUACUCUUUUAUGGAGAGAAAAUAUUUAUUUCAAUCGACACAGCAAAAAUAGAACAGAACAACGAUUAAUAAAAAUGCUUCUGCGCACAAA